GAUGAACGCUGGCGGCGUGCCUAAUACAUGCAAGUCGAGCGAACAGACGAGGAGCUUGCUCCUCUGACGUUAGCGGCGGACGGGUGAGUAACACGUGGAUAACCUACCUAUAAGACUGGGAUAACUUCGGGAAACCGGAGCUAAUACCGGAUAAUAUAUUGAACCGCAUGGUUCAAUAGUGAAAGACGGUUUUGCUGUCACUUAUAGAUGGAUCCGCGCCGCAUUAGCUAGUUGGUAAGGUAACGGCUUACCAAGGCAACGAUGCGUAGCCGACCUGAGAGGGUGAUCGGCCACACCGGAACUGAGACACGGUCCAGACUCCUACGGGAGGCAGCAGUAGGGAAUCUUCCGCAAUGGGCGAAAGCUUGACGGAGCAACGCCGCGUGAGUGAUGAAGGUCUUCGGAUCGUAAAACUCUGUUAUUAGGGAAGAACAAACGUGUAAGUAACUAUGCACGUCUUGACGGUACCUAAUCAGAAAGCCACGGCUAACUACGU
rnacentral:rRNA from 1 species